rnacentral:rRNA from 1 species
CACAUCUAAGGAAGGCAGCAGGCGCGCAAAUUACCCAAUCCUGACACAGGGAGGUAGUGACAAGAAAUAACAAAGCAAGCCCUUUCGGGCGCUGCGUUGGAAUGAGUAGAAUUUAAAUCUCUUUACGACUAUCGAUUGGAGGGCAAGUCUGGUGCCAGCAGCCGCGGUAAUUCCAGCUCCAAUAGCGUAUAUUAAAGUUGUUGCAGUUAAAAAGCUCGUAGUUGGAUUUCUGUGGGGACGGAGCGGCCGGCCGCACAUCGCGGUUCGAGCUAGCGCUUUCCCUACAUCCUGCCGCGAACCGUGCUACCAUUAAUUUGGUGGCGCCGGGGAUCGGCUCGAUUACUUUGAGAAAAAUAGAGUGUUCAAAGCAGGCCACAUGCCUUGAAUAAGUUAGCAUGGAAUAAUAACUAAGGACUUCGGUUCUAUUUUGUUGGUGUUCGGGACUGAAGUAAUGAUUGAUAGGGACAGUUGGGGCGGUCUGUAUUCCAAAGCGAGAGGUGAAAUUCUUAGACCUUCGGAAGACAAACAGCUGCGAAAGCGUUCCGCAAGGAUGUUCCCUUUGAUCAAGAACGAAAGUUGGGGGAUCGAAGACGAUCAGAUACCGUCGUAGUCUCAACUAUAAACUAUACCAGCUAGGGAUCGGCCAACGUUAUUUUAUACCGACUUGGUCGGCACCUUAUGAGAAAUCAAAGCAUCUGGGUUCCGGGGGGAGUAUGGUCGCAAGGCUGAAACUUAAAGGAAUUGACGGAAGGGCACCACCAGCCGUGGAGCCUGUGGCUUAAUUUGACUCAACACGGGAAAACUUACCAGGUCCAGACAUAGUAAGGAUUGACAGAUUGAUAGCUCUUUCUUGAUUCUGUGGGUGGUGGUGCAUGGCCGUUCUUAGUUGGUGGAGUGAUUUGUCUGGUUAAUUCCGUUAACGAACGAGACCCCAGCCUGCUAAAUAGCGCGCGUGAGCUUUGCUCGCGGCGAGCUUCUUAGAGGGACUCUGAUGCGCGAUAGCACAUGGAAGUUUGGGGCAAUAACAGGUCUGUGAUGCCCUUAGAUGUUCUGGGCCGCACACGGGCUACACUGGCGCCUGCAACGAGCAUAUCAGCUGGCCCGAGAGGGUCUUGGCUAAUCUUUUGAACCGGCGCCGUGCUUGGGAUUGACCUUUGCAAUUGUUGGUCAUGCAACGAGGAAUGCCUUGUAAACGCGAGUCAUCAGCUCGCAUUGAAUACGUCCCUGCCCUUUGUACACACCGCCCGUCGCUCCUACCGAUGAAUGUUCCGAUGAAAUUUUCGGAGAGCACCUGUGAACUUGGCUCUGCCUUGCGAACGGGAGGCUCAAAGUCACUUAAAUCUGAACAUUUCGA